UGGUCCCGUGGUGUAGCGGUUAACAUGCCUGCCUGUCACGCGGGGUAGAGCAGUUCGGUAGCUCGUCGGGCUCAU
rnacentral:tRNA from 1 species